rnacentral:rRNA from 1 species
AGCACUAAGUCACUUUGUCUUUAUGGCAAAUGUGAGAUGCAGUGUAUGGAAUGUCAAAUUUCUAGUAUGAGAAAUUAACGAUUUAAGUCCUUCUUAAAUGAGGCCAUUUACCCAUAGAGGGUGCCAGGCCCGUAUAACGUUAAUGAUUACUAGAUGGCAUUUCCAAAGAGUCGUGUUGCUUGAUAGUGCAGCACUAAGUGGGUGGUAAACUCCAUCUAAAACUAAAUAUAACCAUGAGACCGAUAGUAAACAAGUACCGUGAGGGAAAGUUGAAAAGAACUCUGAAUAGAGAGUUAAAUAGUACGUGAAACUGCUUAGAGGUUAAGCCCGAUGAACUUGAAUAUCCAUUAUAGAAAAUUCAUCAUUAUGAUUUAUAAUAUAAAUAAUAUUAUAAUAAUAGUGUGCAUUUUUUCUAUAUAAAGGACAUUGUAAUCUAUUAACAUAAAUAAAAGUAUUUAUCAUAAGAUCAUUUGCAUAAGUUUAUUCAAAUUAUUUUGCUUGCAAUUUAACAUAGAAUAAAUGCUUAUGAUUGGAUAAAGUGUUGAUAGAUUUAUUAUAAUAUAGUGCUUAAAUAUAUUUAUAUAUUUUAUAAUAGCAUAUUAAUCAAUGAUUUUUAUGUUUAUUAUAUGCACUUAUAUGAUUAACAAUGCGAAAGAUUCAGGAUACCUUCGGGACCCGUCUUGAAACACGGACCAAGGAGUCUAACAUAUUUGCAAGUUAUUGGGAAUAAAAACCUAAUAGCGAAAUUAACAUAACUUAUAUAAUGGGAUUAGUUUUUAGCCUAUUUAUAGUCUAUUAAUUCAAUCCCGGGGCGUUCUAUACAGUUAUGUAUAAUAAUAUUUAUAUUAUUUAUACCUCUAACUAGAGCGUACCUUGAGCAUAUAUGCUGUGACCCGAAAGAUGGUGAACUAUACUUGAUCAGGUUGAAGUCAGGGGAAACCCUGAUGGAAGACCGAAACAGUUCUGACGUGCAAAUCGAUUGUCA